CGAAUUCGCGAUGUUGACAGGAAGGAAGAAAGGGAAAAAGGUUGAAAGUGCGUCUAAUCAAUAUUACAUGUGUCGAUGGAAACCGACGAGGGGAGAAAAGACACCUAAAAGUAUGAUGGAUUAUGAAUAUUUUUGGAGGAUAUUUUCGUGCGUUUGUGAUAAUAGAAGUUUGUUUGUUUUAAACAGACAUUCUCAUAAUCCGGCGGUUUAAGCGCUAUUUUCAUAUUCAUGGCCUAGUUUUGUUUUUGAAAAGUUGCUGUUUUGUGAGAAAAUGAACCGUAAUUUAUCAUAAAUUUUAAAUUUUGUUAUAAGAAAAUUUUUUUUCA